UCGGACGGUAGCACAGAGAGCUUGCUCUUGGGUGACGAGUGGCGGACGGGUGAGUAAUGUCUGGGGAUCUGCCCGAUAGAGGGGGAUAACCACUGGAAACGGUGGCUAAUACCGCAUAACGUCGCAAGACCAAAGAGGGGGACCUUCGGGCCUCUCACUAUCGGAUGAACCCAGAUGGGAUUAGCUAGUAGGCGGGGUAAUGGCCCACCUAGGCGACGAUCCCUAGCUGGUCUGAGAGGAUGACCAGCCACACUGGAACUGAGACACGGUCCACACUCCUACGGGAGGCAGCAGUGGGGAAUAUUGCACAAUGGGCGCAAGCCUGAUGCAGCCAUGCCGCGUGUAUGAAGAAAGCCUUCGGGUUGUAAAGUACUUUCUCCGGGGAGGAAGGCGACGCGGUUAAUAACCCCGUCGAUUGACGUUACCCGCA
rnacentral:rRNA from 1 species